rnacentral:lncRNA from 1 species
AUCUUUGACUGAAGGUUUGUUCUCGUCUCCCAAGAAAGGGGCCACCCCUGGGGACUGGUGUGCCUCUAAGACAGCACAGCGUCUACACUCGGCGGCUUAUUGUGCACACACGCUCUAGAAGGACAGCAGCCUCAAUUCCCAGGGAGCAUGAUGCAACGAUUUCUUGUUUGGCAACACCCAAGUCAGCCAGCGUCCAACCUCGACUUCCAGCCAUUCCCUUCAGGAGUCGGACCUUAGCCGGUGGUCAUCCUGCUUUGUUAAAGCAGGGACACACACACACCCCAGAAGCAUUCAAGGACCAGGAACGAGAGCCAGGCUGCCUCCUCCUGAAGAGGCUCUGAGCCAGGCUGCCUCUCGGCCAGGCGACCCGGGCAGCCCUGCAGGGAGGGACACCCGCAUCCUUUUGGAUUUUUGCCUUCCAGAUCAAUCCCUGGCUCCAUUCAGUGGGAUGCAUGCAGCAAAGAGGUCCCCCACUCUGGCAGGAGGUCCCCGAGGGGAAGCAAAGAGUCUAAGGAGAAGGAAGGAGGGUGCUGAGCUGGGCAGAAAAGAAGCUGGGGUCAGCACAUCCAGGCAAGUGACCCAGCUAGCCAUGCCUCAGUUUCCUUGGGUGCCAUCUUGAUUCUAAAGUUCUGGAGCAGUCCCAAAGCCUUUCCCCUGAACCCAGUGACCGUAUGCCCAAGCCAGUCUCUGCACUCAACCCAGCGCCUGUACACCAGCUCCAUGCAGUAUUAUCGGGCAUCUGGUCAUCUUCUCCUUGAGAACAGCCCUGCAUCCCCGAAUGGGACUUAGAACUGGGAGAUAGGGCAGACCACCUCCAGCCUGAUACCCUCACUUGCAGAUGAGGAAAGUGAAGCCCACAGAGGGAAAGGGACUUGCUCAGGCUCACACAGAGAGGAGGUCGCUGAGCUAGGAUUGGAACCCAAGUUUUCUGCCUCCACAUCCAGGGCUGUUCUAUGCUGCGGGGUGAUGCUGCCUCCCAGCAGAGAAAAGCCGCUCUGGGGACUAGAAAAGAGCAGAAAGAACGCUCCCUGCCUGCCCUCCAGUCUGGCACUCAAUGCCUACUUAGCCAUCUCCUGUACCAUUGGUCUCCAUCAUGGAGCGCCCCCUCUCACCAGCUGACACCAAUUUCCGUUCCCCAAGCCCAUCCUGGGCUUCCUAGUCUUCAUGUCCUUGUCAGGAAGCUCCUUCUUCCUCCUGUCUGCAGGGAGAAACUGCCCAACCUUCAAAGUCAGCUUAAACAGACCCCUCCAAAUGGAAAUACCCUUAGCUCCCCGCGAACCCCAUCAACGCCUUCUUUUAGUAUGCAUCUGGAUCAACAAAUCACUCCAUCUUUGUCUGUCCAACUAGCACCUAACUUUCAGGCUAUUGUGUCUGCCUCAGUCUCCUCAUCUCUAAAAUGGGACUAA